rnacentral:lncRNA from 1 species
CUUCUCUGUGAGGAGAGUCCCUCGCCCCUUCUUCAGAUUUGGGAAUGGACUCUCGGGCACCUGAAGCGCCUGCUCAGGAUCAGGCCGGCACCUGGACAUGAAUCCCAAACAGAAAGCCUGAGCCCUGCCUGGCGCUUUCGCGGCUGCUGGCACGGCUGCGCAGAAACGCCAGCGUCCCUGGACCGAGCGCGGGGAGGGGCAGGCUUCCAGCAGCGCUGUCCACUGGGAAGAAGACACAACCCACAUUUUUAGAUUUUCCAGUUUCCACGUUGAAAAAGCAAAAAGACAUGAGAUUGAUUUGUGACCCAGUGUAUCAAAAAUAUUAUUUAACCGAUUAAUCAAUAUGAACAAUUGUUCAUUAGAUAUUUUACUUGUUUUUAGGACUACGUUUUCAAAAUCCGGUGAGAAUUUUAUACUCACAGCACAUCUCAGCGCUGCAGCUCACGCAGGGGCGCCUCCAGCGUCAGGCUUUCUGGGCUCCUGGCUGCGUGCUGCUGGGCACGUUGCUUAAUAUGGCAAAGUCCCCAUUUUUCUCAUCCAGAAAACGGAGAUCAAAGUACAGGUGCCAAUUUCAUAGGACUACAGUGAAGAUCAAAUGAGAGAGCUCAGCCAAGAAUAUAAGACCCAUGCAUGGUCUGUGGAAGUCUCGUGGUCUUUAAGGCUUUCUCCAGCUACACAACUUUAGAUCAAGUCACAGGAACCUGAAGGACACCACAGGUGCUUCCAGCAAGGGCAUCUGGAAGGCCUGUGGUCCGCGGUGGCUCAGGAAGGUAAG